rnacentral:lncRNA from 1 species
GCUUGCUCAAGCCCCUCUCACUCUGUGGAGUAUACUUUCACUUCAAUACACCUAUGCUUUCAUGUUCCAUUGCUUUGUUUUGUUCAAUCUUUGUUCACCAUGCCAAGAACCUGGACAACUUGUAGUGAAGACCUUCCACACCAGUAACAUAUUUUGGUGAGCCAGUCGGGAGAGACUGUUUUGUUCAUCUACUAAUGUGAUCUAAGGGGACAGUCAUGAACAGAAAGACUGCGAGUUCCCAAAGGGGCUA